rnacentral:SRP_RNA from 1 species
GCCGGGCGUGGUGGCUCACGCCUAUAAUCCCAGCACUUUGGGAGGCCGAGGCAGGUGGAUCACCUGAGGUCAGGAGUUCAAGACCAGCCUGACCAACAUGGUGAUCCCCCGUCUCUA